rnacentral:lncRNA from 10 species
UUCCCCAGCCGUGCUGAACUAGAUGUGGUCUCACUGUGUUGCCUAGGCUAGUCUCAAACUCCUGGCCUCAAACUAUCAUCCCACCUUAGCCUCCCAAAGUGCCGGGAUCACAAAUUUGUCCCAUAGCAUAAGAUUCACACUCAAUACUAUCAUCCUUUGGGUCUCUAAGACACCAACCUAAAAGCAGAAGAAGGCUUCAAAGGUGGAAGAAGAUGUGAGCCUGGGUGAUUGAAAAAUAGAUGUGCCAUUACCCUGAAAUAGGACUUCUUCAAGGCAAAGGCUGAUACAGUGGUGGCUACAGUCUAUGUUGUGAUUUGAUGGAACUUUUCACUUUUCACCAUUCAAACCAGUAUCCAGAGGUACAGUUGCUGCAUAACUUCCUCAUUAUCCAUAGGACCAAACUAAAUGUCUCUGGUUUGAAAUUUUGACUAGAAAUUAUAUACAUCUGCCAGCAAUUAUUGUGGGUGUAACUGAAGUGCACACUGCUCACUGCCCCUCAAUAACAUCAUUUUCAAAUAAUAACAUUGGAAAGAGGUACUUUCCUAAAACUUUCAAGUGAUCUACAAUCUCCCAGACUACUUUUACAAUGGAUUUUUUUUUUUUUUACUAGAUGUGUUAUUUCAAUUUUGGCCGCUAACCAAAAGGCAGGACAUUGCUGGUGAAUUUAAGCUGUUCAAUUAUACACAAAAAAGAAUCUGAGCAAUGAUUUUGCUGUUUUUGUUUUGAUCUUUGACACAGAGCUGCAAAAUGUCCUCUUUAGUUACCUAGCAAAGCAAGCAUCCUGGAAAAAAAAAAAAAGUGUGGUUGUGCAAUGUUUGAAUGGCGUGAUAUCCUCUGCAGAUGCAUUAGGAGAGGCAAGAGCAGCCUCCCACAUGACUAGGGCAGAAAACACUUCUCAGCAUGAAGGCCAUAACGUUCUUAUUCAUAAUCAAGCACACCGUUUUAUUCAGAAAAAUAUUUGAAAAUAGGAAAACCUAAAAAUCAAAAAUCAGUUGCCCCAAAUAAUGUCUCAGGUAUGUAUUUUCAAAGGAUAUCUGGAAACGCUAUGUAAAGAUUAGAAACAGUCUGUGUGUAGUCCAUAGACUGGAUAUUAUGUAACAUUUAUCUCAGCCAAUGAUGUUAUCAGAGCUAUGCUAGUUGGAUGUCACAAGCAGAUUCAUAAUUUAGUUGCUCUCACAAAUUUCCUUCCCUUGGCUGACUGUGUUCCAGCUGGCAGGUCAUAAAAUGUGUAACCCAAGCCAGCACAGCAUCAUCACUUGGCUGGCCUACUAAAAGCUUCAUGGAGAAAGUAAUACUAUGCCAAAUGGGAGAUCCCCAAAUUUCAGUCUAACAACAAAACUUGUGUCUUCUCCUUAGAUGAGAGGAAACAUUUUAUUCUGGAAAUAGCAAAGCUUUUGGAGUCAGACCACUGUAAAUCACAAUUUCCAGUGAAAUGUAUAUAAUGAUACUUAUAAUAUUG